rnacentral:rRNA from 1 species
CACUCCUACGGGAGGCAGCAGUGGGGAAUAUUGGACAAUGGGCGCAAGCCUGAUCCAGCCAUGCCGCGUGAGUGAUGAAGGCCCUAGGGUUGUAAAGCUCUUUCACCGGUGAAGAUAAUGACGGUAACCGGAGAAGAAGCCCCGGCUAACUUCGUGCCAGCAGCCGCGGUAAUACGAAGGGGGCUAGCGUUGUUCGGAUUUACUGGGCGUAAAGCGCACGUAGGCGGACUAUUAAGUCAGGGGUGAAAUCCCGGGGCUCAACCCCGGAACUGCCUUUGAUACUGGUAGUCUUGAGUUCGAGAGAGGUGAGUGGAAUUCCGAGUGUAGAGGUGAAAUUCGUAGAUAUUCGGAGGAACACCAGUGGCAAAGGCGGCUCACUGGCUCGAUACUGACGCUGAGGUGCGAAAGCGUGGGGAGCAAACAGGAUUAGAAACCCCUGUAGUCCCAUG